AACCGUGGUAAUUCUAGAGCUAAUACAUGCUAAAAACCCCGACUUCGGAAGGGGUGUAUUUAUUAGAUAAAAAACCAAUGCCCUUCGGGGCUCCUUGGUGAUUCAUGAUAACUUUACGAAUCGCAUGGCCUUGCGCCGGCGAUGGUUCAUUCAAAUUUCUGCCCUAUCAACUUUCGAUGAUUGAGUAGUGGUCAAUCAUGGUAUCGACGGGUAACGGAGAAUUAGGGUUCGAUUCCGGAGAAGGAGCCUGAGAAACGGCUGCUACAUCCAAGGAAGGCAGCAGGCGCGCAAAUUGCCCAAUCCCAAUUCGGGGAGGCAGUGACAAUACAUACUGAUACAGGGCUCUUUUGGGUCUUGUAAUUGGAAUGAGUACAAUUUAAAUACCUUAACGAGGAACAAUUGGAGGGCAAGUCUGGUGCCAGCAGCCGCGGUAAUUCCAGCUCCAAUAGCGUAUAUUAAAGUUGUUGCAGUUAAAAAGCUCGUAGUUGAACUUUGGGCCUGGCUAGCCGGUCCGCCUCACCGCGUGUACUGGUCCGGCUGGGCCUUUCCUUCUGGGGAUCCGCAUGCCCUUCACUGGGUGUGUCGGGGAACCAGGACUUUUACUUUGAAAAAAUUAGAGUGUUCAAAGCAGGCAUUUGCUCGAAUACCUUAGCAUGGAAUAAUAGAAUAGGACGUGCGGUUCUAUUUUGUUGGUUUCUAGGCCGCCGUAAUGAUUAAUAGGGAUAGUCGGGGGCAUUAGUAUUCAAUAGUCAGAGGUGAAAUUCUUGGAUUUAUUGAAGCUACUCUGCGAAAGCAUUUGCCAAGGAUGUUUUCAUUAAUCAGGACGAAAGUUAGGGGAUCGAAGACGAUCAGAUAACGUCGUAGUCUUAACCAUAAACUAUGCCGACUAGGGAUCGGGCGAUGUUAUUAUUUUUACUCGCUCGGCACCUUACGAGAAAUCAUAAGUUUUUGGGUUCUGGGGGGAGUAUGGUCGCAAGGCUGAAACUUAAAGAAAUUGACGGAAGGGCACCACCAGGCGUGGAGCCUGCGGCUUAAUUUGACUCAACACGGGGAAACUCACCGGGUCCAGACACGAUAAGGAUUGACAGAUUGAGAGCUCUUUCUUGAUUUUGUGGGUGGUGGUGCAUGGCCGUUCUUAGUUGGUGGAGUGAUUUGUCUGCUUAAUUGCGAUAACGAACGAGACCUUAACCUACUAAAUAGCCCGAUCAGCUUUUGCUGGUUGCUGGCUUCUUAGAGGGACUAUCGGCUCAAGCCGAUGGAAGUUUGAGGCAAUAACAGGUCUGUGAUGCCCUUAGAUGUUCCGGGCCGUUCGGCAGGUUCACCUACGGAGCCAACGAGUUUUUUUCUCAUCCGGAAGGCUUGGGUAAUCUUGUUAAUCUCCGUCGUGCUGGGGAUAGAGCAUUGCAAUUAUUGCUCUUCAACGAGGAAUGCCUAGUAAGCGCGAGUCAUCAGCUCGCGUUGAUGACAUCCCUGCCCUUAGUACACACCGCCCGUCGCUACUACCGAUUGAAUGGCUUAGUGAGGCGUCGGGAC
rnacentral:rRNA from 1 species